GAAGUGGGUCGGAAUCUCGGAAACUUAAUGCUGCGAUGGCUUAAUAAAAUGAAACCGUCAGCUCAGAUUCUUGGUGGAUCACCCACCAAUGGUGCUAGCUCAAGCGUAAUGACAAAGCUUCAAGCUGGCUCCUCCAACCUCAAAAGAUCUAGUUACUAUGCUUUAUUCAAGAGCUCCAACCUCGAAAGACCUAGUUACUAUGCUUUAUUCAAGAGGGGAUCGAAUAAUCGGUUAUUUAUGCCAUCAUCAAGUAUAUGGCCAAAGC
rnacentral:lncRNA from 1 species